rnacentral:misc_RNA from 1 species
GAUGAAGAACGCAGUGAAAUGCGAUACGUAAUGUGAAUUGCAGAAUUCAGUGAAUCAUCGAGUCUUUGAACGCACAUUGCGCCCCCCGGUAUUCCGGGGGGCAUGCCUGUCCGAGCGUCAUUGCUGCCCUCAAGCACGGCUUGUGUGUUGGGCCUCCGUCCUCCUCCCGGGGGACGGGCCCGAAAGGCAGCGGCGGCACCGCGUCCGGUCCUCGAGCGUAUGGGGCUUCGUCACCCGCUCUUGUAGGCCCGGCCGGCGCUUGCCGACACAUCAAUCUUUUUUCCAGGUUGACCUCGGAUCAGGUAGGGAUACCCGCUGAACUUAAGCAUAUCAAUAAGCGGAGGA